AUUGAACGCUGGCGGCAGGCCUAACACAUGCAAGUCGAGCGGAUGAAGAGAGCUUGCUCUCUGAUUUAGCGGCGGACGGGUGAGUAAUGCCUAGGAAUCUGCCUGGUAGUGGGGGAUAACGUUCCGAAAGGAACGCUAAUACCGCAUACGUCCUAGGGGAGAAAGCAGGGGACCUUCGGGCCUUGCGCUAGCAGAUGAGCCUAGGUCGGAUUAGCAAGUUGGUGAGGUAAUGGCUCACCAAGGCUACGAUCCGUAACUGGUCUGAGAGGAUGAUCAGUCACACUGGAACUGAGACACGGUCCAGACUCCUACGGGAGGCAGCAGUGGGGAAUAUUGGACAAUGGACGAAAGCCUGAUCCAGCCAUGCCGCGUGUGUGAAGAAGGUCUUCGGAUUGUAAAGCACUUUAAGUUGGGAGGAAGGUCAGUAAGUUAAUACCUUGCUGUUUUGACGUUACCGACGGAAUAAGCACCGGCUAACUACGUGCCAGCAGCCGCAGUAAAAC
rnacentral:rRNA from 1 species